CUCGGCAGAGGUCGUGAAUUAGUUUGUGAAUGUGGGACAGGCCCUUUACACUAUUAUCGAACGUGUACUCCAUCUUCCCUGGGAGUGUGUGUGUGUGUGUGUGUGUGUGUGAUGGGACUGUGUACAGGAAGCUUCACUCAGUGUUUACCACUCUGGGAGUGUGUGAUGGUGCGGGGUAGAGGGAGUGUCACUCUAUUGAAUCUUUACUCUAUGUGCGCUGGGAGUGUAUUGGGACAGUGUAGAGGGAGCUUAAUCAGUAUCUAAAUGUUGUUGUCCCUGCGCUGGUGAUGUUUAAUGGGACAGUGUAUAGAGGGUGCUUUAUUCUGUGUCGACAUUGAAGUCACUGCCCUCAAUGUGUAAUGGGAUGGAGUAGAGGCAGCUUCACUCUGUAUCUAACCUGACCCACUCCAGGUGUGGGAGUGAGUGUGUAAUGGGAUGGUGUUGAGGCAGCUUCACUCUGUAUCUAACCUGACCCACUCCAGGUGUGGGAGUGAGUGUGUAAUGGGAUGGUGUAGAGAGAGGCAGCUUCACUCUGUAUCUAACCUGACCCACUCCAGGUGUGGGAGUGAGUGUGUGACGGAUGGCAGUGUAGAGGCAGCUUCACUCUGUAUCUAACCUGACCCACUCCUGGUGUGGGAGUAAGUGUGUAAUGGGAUGGUGUCGGGGCAGCUUCACUCUGUAUCUAACCUGACCCACUCCAGGUGUGGGAGUGAGUGUGUAAUGGGAUGGUGUAGAGAGAGGCAGCUUCACUCUGUAUCUAACCUGACCCACUCCAGGUGUGGGAGUGAGUGUGUAAUGGGAUGGUGUAGAGAGAGGCAGCUUCACUCUGUAUCUAACCUGACCCACUCCUGGUGUGGGAGUAAGUGUGUAAUGGGAUGGUGUCGGGGCAGCUUCACUCUGUAUCUAACCUGACCCACUCCAGGUGUGGGAGUGAGUGUGUGACGGAUGGCAGUGUAGAGGCAGCCUCACUCUGUAUCUACCCUGACCCACUCCUGGUGUGGGAGUGAGUGUGUAAUGGGAUGGUGUCGGGGCAGCUUCACUCUGUAUCUAACCUGACCCGUAUGUGGUCAGGAAGUAUUUAAUGAAGAGUGUUGACCAGGCUUCCUGCCAUGGUUUCUGCAGCAAGAGGUGCUAGAUGCUAGUGGACUGAGUAGUGUCAAACACUGACACCACUAAUAUCUUAUGGAAUUACAGUGCGUGAAUCCAUUCAGCCACACGAUCGCUUCACAAGCUGCCUGCUCGUACCAGUCAGGGUAAAUCGUGCAGAAGAAACCGGGGGAAUGAUUGGGAAGGAACUGCAGAUGCUGGUUUACACCGAAGAUAGACACACAAUGCUGGAGUAACUCAGCGGGACAGGCAGCAUCUCUGGAGAGAAGGAAUGGGUGACGUUUUGGGUUGAAACAAUCUGAAGAAGGGUCUCGACUCGAAACAUUGCCCAUCCCUUCUCUCCAGAGAUGCUGCCUGUCCCACUGAGUUACUCCAGUACUUUGUGUCCAUCUCCGUGGGGGGUGGCCGUGCUUUCGGCUCCAUGGAAUAGCAGCACCAGCUCUCUGCCGGGUUGGUUUAACGAGGUAACCUCAGCAUUGUGGUGUUUGACUGUAUUCUGCUACAGAGACCGGAGAACAAAGAGAGAUUGCUCUGACCCCACCCGUGCAAGUACCAGUGCAGUCAAGUUUAUUCCCCUUCACACAGGUCCGAUGAAGUACAGCAGCAAUGAACAAUACCAUCGCAGGCACAGAGACAACACGUAGAAUUAUAAAUUUCACAUCAAUUCUGCAAGGAAGCAAAAAGCAAAAAGAUUCAGCACAAAAAACCACAGCAAGACACGGUGAGAACCGGUUGUCUGUUGCUGAGGUAGGAUUAGGGUUGUGUGGGUCGUUUCAAGAACCUGUUGGUUGCUGGAAAGAAGCUGUUCCUGAACCUGGUGGUGUGGGACUUCAGGCUUCUGUAUCUCCUGCUCAACGGUAGCAAUGGGAAGUGGGCACGGCUGGGAUGGUGAGGAUCCUUGAUGAUAGAUGAGGCAGCGACUGGUGGAGAUGCUGUCGAUGGUGGGGAGAGCUGUGCCCAUGAUAGACCGGGCUGAGUCCACCACUCCCUGCAGCUUCCUGUGUUCCUGUGCAUUGCAAUGGCCGUACCAGACCUGUACUGCACCAAGUAUAGUUUAGAGAUACAGUGCAGAAAAAAGCCCUACGGCCCACCGAGUCUGCACCGACCAGCGAUCCCCACACACUAACACUAUCCUACACACGCUCGGGACAAUUUACAAUUAUACUGAAGCCAAUUAGCCUACAAACCUGUACGUCCUUGGAGUGUGGGAGGAAACCGGGUCACCUGUAGAAAAUCCACGCAGGUCACAGGGAGAAUGUACAAACUCCGUGCAGACAGCACCCAAAGUCAGGAUCGAACCCGUGUCUCUGGCGCUGUGAGGCAGCUACUACCGCUGCACCAUCGUGCCACCAAGGUACGCUACCAAUCAGUCUUUGGUGACGUGUCAAUCUCUUUAAACUUCCCAGACAGUAGAUGGCUGUGGCUUCAACACAAGGCUGUCUUAAAGCAAAAAGAAUGAUGGGGGUCAGAGUCUGUUGGCCACCUGGUGGUGGUGGUGGUUGUCUGGUGGUGGUGGUGUGCGUUGGUCUUGGGCUGCAGGUACAUCCAUGGUGCUACAAGGUCCAUGGUCAGGGGUGAGAGACCAGUGACACUCUUCUGUGUCAUGGAGGUGAAUGACCCUGAGACUGAAUCAGUUUAGUUUAUUGUCACCUGUGCCGAGGUACGGUGAAAAGCGUGCUACGUGUUUGUUAUGUGCUAACCAGUCAGUGGAAAGUCAAUGCAUGAUUACAUUCGAGCCAUACAGUAUACGGUGUACUGUUUAGUGCAAGGUAAAGCCAGCAAAGUCCGAUCAAGGAUAGUCUGAGGGUAACCAAAGUGGUGGGUAGUAGUUCAGCCACUGCUCUCUGGUUGUGGUGGGAUGGUUCAGUUGCCUGAUAACAGCUGGGAAGAAACUGUCCCUGAAUCUGGAGGUAAUGUUGUACCUUCUGUAGAUGGGACCACACCUGGAGUACAGUGUGCAUUUCUGCUCGCCUUGCUGUAGGAAGGACGUCAUUAAACUGCAGGGUGAUCAGUUAGGAUAUACGACUAUGUUACCAGGACUUGCUCAACAACACUCCCCAGGGCCCUACCAUGCACUUUGUAGUUAGACACACACAGCUGGAGUAACACAGGCAGCAUCUCUGGAGAGAGGAAUGGGUGAUGUUUCAGGUUGAGACCCUUCAGGCUGUGUAGGUCCUGCCCAUGUUAGACUUCUCCAAAUGCAAACCCCUCACAUUUCUAUGUAUUAAAUUCCGUCAGCUCGCAAGACCAACCAAUCAAGAUCCUGUUGUAAUUAUUCACAACUAUCUGCAAAACUCCCCCACUUUUGUAUUAUCAGCAAACUUGCUAAUCCUGUAUGUUCGCAUCCAAAUCAUUGAUGUAGAUGACAAACAGUAACAGGCCCAGCACUGAACCCUGAGUCACAGGUGAUCUUAUAGAGGUGUGUAAAAUCAUUGGGUGACAUUUUUUCUCGAUAGGAGAGACUAGAAGUGGAGGGAAGAGAUUUAAAAGGGAUUAGAGGGCCAACUGUUCCAACAUGAAGUACAUGGGUACAUGGAACAUGCUGCCAAUAGAAGGUUUGUUUACAACAGGUGAUUUCUCCAAUGCUCUCAAGGUGCUAAGAGGCAUCGGGUCAUAGAGUGAUACAAUGUGGAAACAGCCCCUUCGGCCCAACCUGCCCCACCCACACUCAUCCCACCUGCCUGCAUUUGGCCCAUAUCCCUCCAAAUCUCCUCUCCAUGUAUCUGUCUAACUUCAUGUGGCAGCUCGUUCCAUACACCCACCACCCUUUGCGUGAAAAGUGACCCCUCAGAUUCCUAUAAAAUCUUUCCCGCUCACUUCUUCUUGCAUAUGGCUUGCACAGCCUAAAGUUGUAGGACAACUUGUUCUAUUUGAUCUUACUUGAUUGUGCACGGCAGGUUGAUUGCAUUCGUCAAAACAGGGUGGACCACGUGAAGGUUGCAAUCUCCCACCCCUCCCUCUCUCACCUUAAAGCUCGAUUCCCCUACUCUGGGCAAGAGACUGCGUCUACCCAAUCUAUUCCUCUCAUGAUUUUGUACACCACAAUGAGAUCAUCCCUCAUCCUGCUGCGCUCCAUGGAAUAGAGUUCAAGCCCGCAAAUCUCUCCCUAUAGCUCAGACCCUCGAGUCCUGACACCAUCCUCGUUAAAAAUCCCAGCCUGCUCAACCUCUCCCUAUAGCUCAAGUCCUGGCGAUGUCCUUGUAAAUUUUUUCCGCAGUGUGACUUCUUCAAUGGUGCUGAGAGGCAACAGGUGACAUCUCAUUGUCUCGUCCACACCCAGAGCUGCUGGUGUGGUUUGUGGUGUGUCACCGUUUGUUACAUAUCGGCUGUCAUCUGGCCAGCACUGGGCUACAGGUUUGUUAUAAAACUCGUUUGCAGCACAGUGUAUGCAGUGCUUUCCCGAGUUGUCAGAUGGUUGACCAUCUGUGCCCAUGGCUGGAGUAUUCUCUCUCUCACCCUCCAAGGCAGCGUUAGACUGAUGUUCACGGGAGUGUUUAAAUGUUAUACAUACUGACAACAGAACAAUGCCAUUUUUACUUGCAGCAGCAAAGCAGGCCUGUAAACACAGUACUCAUAAUAUAUAAUAAACAAAGAUUCAAUGAAUUAAUAUCACAA